UACGAAGGGGGCUAGCGUUGCUCGGAAUCACUGGGCGUAAAGGGCGCGUAGGCGGACUCUUAAGUCGGGGGUGAAAGCCCAGGGCUCAACCCUGGAAUUGCCUUCGAUACUGAGAGUCUUGAGUUCGGAAGAGGUUGGUGGAACUGCGAGUGUAGAGGUGAAAUUCGUAGAUAUUCGCAAGAACACCAGUGGCGAAGGCGGCCAACUGGUCCGAUACGUGACGCUGAGGCGGCGAAAAGCGUGGGGAGCAAACAGGG
rnacentral:rRNA from 1 species